rnacentral:rRNA from 1 species
AGCUACAGGCUUAACACAUGCAAGUCGAGGGGCAGCAUGGUCUUAGCUUGCUAAGGCCGAUGGCGACCGGCGCACGGGUGAGUAACGCGUAUCCAACCUGCCUUACACUCUUGGACAGCCUUCUGAAAGGGAGAUUAAUACAAGAUGUUAUCAUGAGUAAGCAUUUUCGCAUGAUUAAAGGUUUACCGGUGUAAGAUGGGGAUGCGUUCCAUUAGAUAGUAGGCGGGGUAACGGCCCACCUAGUCUUCGAUGGAUAGGGGUUCUGAGAGGAAGGUCCCCCACAUUGGAACUGAGACACGGUCCAAACUCCUACGGGAGGCAGCAGUGAGGAAUAUUGGUCAAUGGACGAGAGUCUGAACCAGCCAAGUAGCGUGAAGGAUGAAGGUUCUAUGGAUUGUAAACUUCUUUUAUACGGGAAUAAACGGAUCCACGUGUGGAUUUUUGCAUGUACCGUAUGAAUAAGGAUCGGCUAACUCCGUGCCAGCAGCCGCGGUAAUACGGAGGAUCCGAGCGUUAUCCGGAUUUAUUGGGUUUAAAGGGAGCGUAGAUGGGUUGUUAAGUCAGUUGUGAAAGUUUGCGGCUCAACCGUAAAAUUGCAAUUGAUACUGGCAGUCUUGAGUACAGUUGAGGUAGGCGGAAUUCGUGGUGUAGCGGUGAAAUGCUUAGAUAUCACGAAGAACUCCGAUUGCGAAGGCAGCUUACUAACCUGUAACUGACAUUGAUGCUCGAAAGUGUGGGUAUCAAACAGGAUUAGAUACCCUGGUAGUCCACACGGUAAACGAUGAAUACUCGCUGUAGGCGAUAUACAGUCUGCGGCCAAGCGAAAGCAUUAAGUAUUCCACCUGGGGAGUACGCCGGCAACGGUGAAACUCAAAGGAAUUGACGGGGGCCCGCACAAGCGGAGGAACAUGUGGUUUAAUUCGAUGAUACGCGAGGAACCUUACCCGGGCUUAAAUUGCAACCGAAUAUGGCGGAAACGCUAUAGCUAGCAAUAGCGGUUGUGAAGGUGCUGCAUGGUUGUCGUCAGCUCGUGCCGUGAGGUGUCGGCUUAAGUGCCAUAACGAGCGCAACCCUUGCCGAUAGUUACUAACAGGUUAUGCUGAGGACUCUGUCGGGACUGCCAUCGUAAGAUGUGAGGAAGGUGGGGAUGACGUCAAAUCAGCACGGCCCUUACGUCCGGGGCUACACACGUGUUACAAUGGGGGGUACAGAGGGCUGCUACCACGCAAGUGGAUGCCAAUCCCAAAAACCUCUCUCAGUUCGGAUUGAAGUCUGCAACCCGACUUCAUGAAGCUGGAUUCGCUAGUAAUCGCGCAUCAGCCACGGCGCGGUGAAUACGUUCCCGGGCCUUGUACACACCGCCCGUCAAGCCAUGGGAGCCGGGGGUACCUGAAGUGCGUAACCGCAAGGAGCGCCCUAGGGUAAAACUGGUGACUG